rnacentral:rRNA from 1 species
GACGAACGCUGGCGGCGUGCUUAACACAUGCAAGUCGAACGGAAAGGCCCUGCUCUUGUGGGGUGCUCGAGUGGCGAACGGGUGAGUAACACGUGAGUAACCUGCCCUUGACUUUGGGAUAACUUCAGGAAACUGGGGCUAAUACCGGAUAGGAGCUCCCGCUGCAUGGUGGGGGUUGGAAAGUUUCGGCGGUUGGGGAUGGACUCGCGGCUUAUCAGCUUGUUGGUGGGGUAGUGGCUUACCAAGGCUUUGACGGGUAGCCGGCCUGAGAGGGUGACCGGCCACAUUAGGACUGAGAUACGGCCCAGACUCCUACGGGAGGCAGCAGUGGGGAGUAUUGCACAAUGGGCGGAAGCCUGCUGCAGCAACGCCGCGUGCGGGAUGACGGCCUUCGGGUUGUAAACCGCUUUCGCCUGUGACGAAGCGUGAGUGACGGUAAUGGGUAAAGAAGCACCGGCUAACUACGUG